UACUUGUCAUUCUUCUUUUUUAGGCUACACUACACAUGAUCGCAUAAUUCUCCCAUAUGAAUAGGAAACCCAGUAAUUAUGGGACUGAUAUGCGAUCAUAGGCAGAGCAUGUCUUAUAAACUUUCUUGAGCACCGUAAUCUGGGGAGUGGGGGUACCGUGGAGGGCCCAUAUUCUGCGCACUUAAUACUUUUUCUAUUACAAUCUGCAGUAAUAAAUUCCAAAUCGAACCGAUUUGGCUGAAUUUUUGAUCGCACAUAGUUAUCAGCUUUGCAAAUAAGGGAAAACUAAAGUUCUUAUACAAAACACUUAAUUUAUAUGUAAAAUCAUGAAAACUCUAAAGUGUGUCUUUGUUCUUAAUUCUGCGUACUAUUUUUUGGAAUGUUCCUUAUUCUGCGCACUAAUGUUCUUAAUUCUGCGCACAUGGGAAAAAUUCUAAAAAGAUAACAUAUUGUAAUGAGAACAUAAUUCAUAGAUAAAAUUCAAUUGAAUUCUUCAUUUUCAACUUUUAUACGACAUUACGACCAUAUUGGAAAAUUGAAUGUCCCCAACAUUGAUACUACCGUGGGGUGCCCUAAUUUCGCGCGCGUCCAAAUUUCGCUCACUGAUAAUAUUUAGAGAUCAUAAUCAAAAAACUAGCUGUGUAAUUGUCCAAAUUACACUUUUGCUAUGCUGUCUAAAGUGAAAUUAGGACAAUUCAACAAUUACUUCUAUGAUGAUGAUCUCUAAAAUUUACCAGUGAGCGAAAUUUGGACCCGCGCGAAAUUAGGGCACCCUACGGUACCUACUUUGAUUACUAAGCUAAAGGAAUUGCAACCAUGAUACACAAAAGGAUUUUGUAGAAUUCUCGAAUACUACUAUGUAACGGGUGGUCACUAAAUAACGGGAAUGCUUUGAAUGUGCUCUUAAAAAUAUAUGAUCUUUAAAAAUGGCAAUCUGAAUUUAACUAUCAUAAAGGUUUAACAAUGUACGUCCAUGGAAAAUAUAAAAUUUAAGAAAGUUGAACGUAGUAAUUUGUACAGUAUUUUUUUGCAGUGAUGUUGGAGCAACUGCUUUGUACGACUUUUCAGAGUUUACUUUCACGCAUUUUCUGCGUCUGUGAAAUCGUUGGUUAAAAUAAAUGGUUUCUCAGCUACCUUUAGCAUCUACACACUCAAACAGUAAUAAGAAAAAAUGGGGAUACUGACUUGUUUUUUUUUUGCUUUGGCUGUAGCCUUUUCCCGUAAAUGACAUUUAUAGAAAUUUCCAAAAAAUGUUAUUUUUCUGUAUCACCAAAACGUGUCGAUGUAAUUUGUACACUGCGGUUCAUUGUUGAACUUUUUUUGUGCUAUUUUUUUUUAUAACGAACCAUUUACAUGUUGUUCAAUGUGUAAAUGUGAUUUGAUGUAAAUAUUUGUUAUUUAACAAGGCAUUCUAUUGAUUUAUCCAGCCCAUGUCACAAAAGAAGAUUUUAUUAUGUGAAAUGAUAUCACGCUUAUUGGUUUUGCUAGUUUUCCUCUAUUUCCUUCAGGAUCUGUUUCUUGGGAUGCCGAAAUGUGGAAUUCAUUCAAAACCGGGCGGGUUCUAGUUUUAUAAUGGUUUACUAUUAACUUUUUUUAAGGUUGUUUUGAGCAAUCAGUAGAGCCGUCCAAGGCGUUUUGGUAGUGCUUCCUGUUUCAAUGUCGUUUUCUGCAGAACAGAAUAAGUUGACACAAAAUAAAAAAUACGCUGACUUUGUGGAUAGAUAGACGAUGGUUUUGUCUAAAAAAUGUUUACUCUAUGGACGCUUCUAUUGUUUUUAAUCAGCUGCUAAAAGCAUUCCCGUUAUUUAGUGGCCACCCGUUAAAGCUUUUUAGUUAUCCGCAUAUGUACAUACAUAUUAGUAAAAAUUACUUUCAUUUCUAAAGGCAAUAUAAACUUUUUCGCCAUGACAAGGUGGCACAACCUGUUUUUGCAAACUGAGACUUCUUUCUUGUCCAACUCCAGGGUUUCCCCUGUUUAAGAAAAUUUCAUGUAAACUCACAUCACAUGUCGCAUUUGACGAAUGCUUGCAUGAAUACAUAAAAUUUCUCCCGAGGCUGAUAGCAAAUGUUUAAAACAAGUGGUUAGCCCAGUCAAACUAUCAGAUCAAAAAUGCAAGAAUCGUAAAUUAGCCUUUUAAGUUUAUAAACUAACUAGUUGAAACGUUAUUAUACAUUCACCGGAUUGCUAGAAACAUAUAAUAUCCUAGUUAUAACUAUGGUGGCAUUUAUAUGAUGUUUGAUUAUAAAUUUUAUGUUCAAAACUUAGUGUUGAAAUGUCUGCUCAGAAUUAAGACCACCAUUUAAUACCGGUUCCUUUAUCUGCGCCCCUAAGAAGAACAAGAAGAUUAAGAAAAGAAGAAGAAAACUCAAUUGUUGUUUGUCGAUUCUGAUUCCUCGAAGACAGCAGUACAGGAUGCGCAUGGAAAAGCAGACAUUCUCUUCAUUUUUUAUGUCGCAAAAUGCUUGAGCUCAUGAUACAAUUUUUAGCAACUUCGCAAACGGACACAGAUUUCAGGCAAUUUCCAGCAUUUGCAUCACCAUUUUAUUUUUUUACAAAAUAAUGGUCGUUAGCCUGAUUUUUUUUCACAAACUUUCUUUUACUGUUGCAACAAUAUUCAAAAAAAUAUUUGAAGCUAAUAUUGAACGAGCGUCUAUGAUUUUGUGGUGUAUUCGAGUAAGUGCUCCGAAUUAGGGACUGCGCAGAAUUAGGGCCAGUCACGGUAGAUGAUUAUGAAAAUCGAACAAUAUUUCGAAAAGUUGGUUUUUGACCAAAAAAUUGUAAUAUGCGAUGGUCCUUCCAACGCAUGGAAUGUAAUUUUGGGGGGUAACUAGGUAUAUUUUGAAGAUGCUUUAGCAUGUAUAACUUUUUGCAAAAAAGAUUUGGAAAUCAUAUUUUACACAUACAUAGUGGAGCAAAAGUUCGAAUUGUGGGGCAAGAGUUCCAGUCAUGUGGCAGCUUUAGGUAAAACCUAAAAUUCUGCAAAAUACACAUAUUAUAUCUAAAAGUGAUGGAAUUAGUGAGGAAAUUCGAUCUAAGUUGAAAAAAAUGUUGCUUUAUCUGAAUUUGGCGGAAAACUACUAAUUUUAGGUGUAGCCGGGGUGGCCAAUGAAUAACAGAUUUUGAUUUUCCGGUUUUCUUCCAUUUUUCCCCCCGGUUUUAAUAUUUUUGCUUGUAUUGUAUUCCCUAUCAGUUUAGGAGCUGUUCGUGAUGGAAACUUUAAUGACUUUGAAUAUCUAUACUCUUCUCACACGAAGAAUGGUCAAUGGCAAAGAAACCAAAUUAAAAUUGUGGAAGUGUUUUUACAGUUACACAAAUUUACAGUGUUUACAGAACCUAUUUUUUAGAAAUACUAAAAAUACCAAUACUUGGGAACGAUGUUACGAUUUGACAUCGUUUGAAUUUCUAGAGGAUUUCCUAAAUGAAUUACUGAAGAACCCCUAAAAGGAACUUUUGAACAAACAGCAGUAAGAAAUCCUGAAGAAAUUUUUGUUCUGAAGGGAAUCCAGUAGAAGCUCUAGGAGGAAUCCAAGAACAAAAGCAGCAAAUACUCCUGCAGAAGAUAAAAAAAACUUUUUUACCCUUUCCUUCCCAUGGCACAGGUGAUCCACUGCUUGGCACUGAUCAUACAAAAUCUACAUAAGUUAGAUCGUUUCCGCUUUUUCUUCACAUACAUUAAUAUGUUUCAUUAAUAGCUCAUGAAGAAAAAUACUUUGGCAUAAUUGCCAAGUUUGGUCAAAGUUCGUUUGCUAGUUUUUGUUCUAGAGCCAAAAAAUCUAACGAAAGUCGGUAUUUUUUUCCAUUUUAAUUCAAACUAUUUUUGAAUAUAGGUAAUUCUCGCUGAGACCGGCCCACUAUUUACACCUUGUCUUCAAAAAUGUUCAAGGUGGCGAUUUUCUGAAAAUUCUCGCUAAAAAAGUAAGGAAAAUGCAUUUGGUGACUCAAUUUGGGCCCAUAUAGCCGAGGCGGUAAACGCACGGGUAUUCAGCAUGACCAUGCUGAGGGUGACGGGUUCGAUUCCCGGUCGGUCCAGGAUCUUUUCGUAAAGGAAAUUUCCUUGACUUCCUUGGGCAUAGAGUAUCUUCGUGCCUGCCACACGAUAUACACAUGCAAAAUGGUCAUUGGCAGAGGAAGCUCUCAGUUAAUAACUGUGGAAGUGCUCAUAGAACACUAAGCUGAGAAGCAGGCUUUGUCCCAUUGAGGACGUUACGCCAAGAAGAGGAGGAGAGGACUCAAUUUGAUGGACCCCCGUUAGUUGGAGCUACAACAAUUUUUAAAGACCCCUCGAUUUUGAUCUAAACAGCAAAACGAAUUGUUGUUGAAAAGAGGAAAGAUAGAACUACUAUUUACAAUUAUAAAAAGUUGGGUCGGCCAUAUUGAUUUUGGCCGCCAUCUUGGAUUUUUAUACCAAAAUAUUUUUUUCAACAUGAUGGCAACCACCGAUUUUUGCAAUUUUUGCAUCAAUUGAAAACUGAGACAUUUAUACAUAACAUCAAAAAAUUAGAGAUGACUUUUUCUUCUUUUAAAAGUUAUCUGCAGUUUUAUAAACCAUGCCACUUUUGCGCACUGGGCCAGGUGCCGGCCGUUUACAUAAAUGCAGCGUUAUUUCGCAGUGUUUACGAACACGAAUUUAAAAUCUGAACCUACUAAUGGAAAGCUGAAGGUUUAAGCUUUUUAAAACACUAAAAAAGUUAUAAAAGCAAUGCCCGCAACAUUGAGAAACAGUCAAAAACGGGAACGAACCUCCGAUUUACCCAAAUUUGGAGCAGGUGUCUUUGUGUAUACAUGCAGUCACAGCUUUCAAUUCAUGCAAAAAAUUUGAAAAUGUGUUGGUGGUUGCCAUCAUGCAGAAAAACAUGUUUUGGUAUAAAAAUCCAAGAUGGCGGCCAAAAUCAAUAUGGCCGACACAACUUUUUAUAAUUGUAAAUAGUAGCUCACUCUAUCUUUCCUCUUUUCAACAACAAUUCGUUUUGAUGUGGUUUUUUCGAGCCACCAUUUGACCAAAAUCGAGGGGUCUUCAAAAAUUGUUGUAGCUCUCCCGUUCCAAACGAGCAGGCAGUGAUAGGGUGCGACUCAAAACUCUUUGCGUGCCGCACACGCUGCUACGAGACAGCACAACAAACCAGAAGGAGACGAGUACGUGCAGUGCAAUCGGUUGUGUGUUGCUCGCUUACUUUGCCGCGCGCUGGAGAUCUCCUGUCGCUUUGUCGUAUGCACUCUCUCGGUGCUUGUCUUCGUGCUUUGGAAUUUGCUUGAUACUACGCAUGAUUGGUAAAAUUUCGAAUCAAACGAUCCAUCACUUAUCAACCCUUGGCAAGCUCAACAAUUUUGCCGAAAACACAAACUCUUUAAUUAAUUUAUUAGGUGAUUUUUUUCUGUUUGGUGAUAAGCACAGUCCCAAGCACCGUGCAUUACUCCCUGCGCCGUAGAGCUAGUGCUACGGGUUGUCUCUCGUACAAUUACAAAAGCUCUCACUCAUACGUCUCUUGUCUCUCGGCAAAACGGGAGACAAGCACUUGAGAUUGUGUGAAGCACACGCUUUUUUCGCACCGCACGGUGCAUGCCGUCAAUCCCUGCGAGCAGGGGACCUGUCAAAAUUGGAACAUGACGCCACUCUCCCUUCCAGUCACUCUACCUAUUAUAUGUAUAUUAUUCCCCAUCAUAAUCAUGUUAGAGGAAGACUUAUGGACGCCGCGUAAAUGCUGAUAAAUUUCAUUAAGUGUAACAGUAGGGCGCUCCCGACAUAGUUUAAACGUGUAAUGAAAGCUUUGUAAAAACAAAAAAGAAAUUAAAGACGAAAAAGGUAAAUUUAGAUGUAUGCCUCUUCAAUGUAGCCAUCUUUCCAAUGGAUCACUGGUGAUCCACCCCAGAAUUAUUUUUUAUCAGUUCCAUCGAUAUAUUGAAGCGAAAUUAUGCAUCUUUUGUUCUAAUGAUCUGUUUGGAAAUCCUUUUUUCUAUUUUUAAAUCUCAAAAAACAUUGCGGGAAAAAAUGGGUUAAGUAGCAUUUUUGAUCAAUAACGGCGCCGGCCAGGUCCUUACAAUCAGUUGAGAAGGACAAGAGAAGCGGCACAGUUCGCUUGGUUGCAUAACUUGUAGGCGUUGGACGAUAGAUUGACACUGUGCUGUUGAAGCUGGAAGGAAUGGGAACGCUUUUCAAUCAAUUUAUGGUUCUAGCAAUUGCUAUGAACAUAUGAAUAUACAUGAGUUUUUUUUA